rnacentral:tRNA from 1 species
GGAGAGGUGUCCGAGUGGUCGAAGGUGUCGCACUCGAAAUGCGAUAGGGUUAACAGCCCUCGUGGGUUCGAAUCCCACCCUCUCUG